ensembl:snRNA U6 U6 spliceosomal RNA
UUGCACACAUUUGGCAGCACAUACACUAAAACUGGAACAUUAAAAAGAAGAUUAGCAUGGCCCCUGUGCACAGAUGACAUGCAAAUUUGUGGAUUAUUCCAUAUUUUU